CCCCGAGCCCACAACACCUGGCACGCACACAGGCAGUCUCCUAUCAACGACUUGAUCAGGCAGUCUCCUAUCAACGACUUGGUCAGGCAGUCUUCCUGAUGCGCUCACGAUGAGCAGCAGGUUUGCAGCCCGGCCCAGGGCGCCUCACCCCACGUGGCUUUGAUUAAUUGACGAGAGGCGACCACGGCGACACCUGCCGAGUCCCGGGUUGCUCCGGAGGUGUUGCGCUUUCGCUCGUGAGGAGCGGUGGCGCAGUGGUUGGCGCACUGCGCCGUGAGUCCGGCGCUCACGGGAGCCGACGUCGGUGGCGACCCGCUGGACACGUCUCUGGGCAUCCCCCGCCUCGCCCUGGACGGCAUUUAGUGGUGCAAAUUAAAAUCGGCGUGAACGUAUGUGCAGCAACGACCUCUGUGAGCAAAGAGCUUCACAGCCCAUCGGAUUCCUCCUGCUGCUGCUGCAGUCCAAAUGAAGAUUCUGAUUCUGAGAUUCAAGCGUGGCGUGGCGUGUAAACAGGAGGAUCGUGAAGGACGCUGCUACUGGUAAGUUGGAGGCAGGCGCCCUCCAACAACAAUGGAGCGACGCUCACAACAACGAGCGGAGCACCGGGCAGCUAAAAUACAGAAAAUGGGCACAGUAGGGGGCACACCUGGUGCAUCUCUACCAGUCAUCUCAGUCAGUCAACCCAUGGCACCUGGGGUCAGACAUUUCUGACGAUGUGGGACGAGGGGGUGGUUGAGAAAUGUGACGUCACAUCAAA